rnacentral:sRNA from 1 species
GCUGGGUGUGGUGGCCCAUGACUAUAAUCCCAGCACUGAGGAGGCUGAGGCAGGAGGAUCUCAAGUUUGUGGCCAGCCUGGGUAACUUAGGGAGACCCUGCCUCAA